CACGUAGUUAGCCGGAGCUUCCUCCUCUGCUACCGUCAUCAUCUUCACAGAGGACAGAGGUUUACAAUCCGAAAACCGUCUUCCCUCACGCGGCGUUGCUGGUUCAGGGUUUCCCCCACUGACCAAUAUCCCUUACUGCUGCCUCCCGUAGGAGUCUGGGCCGUGUCUCAGUCCCAAUGUGGCCGUCCAACCUCUCAGUCCGGCUACCGAUCGUCGGCUUGGUGGGCCGUUACCCCACCAACUACCUAAUCGGACGCGAGCCCAUCUUUCAGCGGAUUGCUCCUUUGAUUAUCCUACCAUGCGAUAAGAUAAUGUCAUGCGGUAUUAGCGUUCGUUUCCAAACGUUAUCCCCCUCUGAAAGGCAGGUUGCUCACGCGUUACUCACCCGUCCGCCACUAAGAUAUCCAAGAUUCAUUACCGAAGUACUUCAUCAGCGAAUAUCUCCGUUCGACUUGCAUGUAUUAGGCACGCCGCCAGCGUUCGUCUGUAGCCAGGAUCGAAACUCU
rnacentral:rRNA from 1 species